GCUGUUAGUUAACGAGUUCAGGAGGGUGUUGAAUUGCCCUGCUAGAGAGAUGCUGAUCUGCAGUAGCUACUGUGCCCAGAGGAGAGCAGCAGGGACGAGGUGUGGCAUCAGGAGGCCGUAUGAGGAUGCAGUGUUCAGUACUGGGACAGAGACUCCUCUAUGCAUCCAGGGAGAUCUUCAACCUUUCACAACUUAAGUGCCUGGACAUCACGUGGCAGCUUUUCUG
rnacentral:lncRNA from 1 species